rnacentral:tRNA from 1 species
GUGGGUAUAGCUCAGUGAUAGAGCAUGUGUUUAGCAUGCAUGAGGUCCUGGGUUCAAUCCCCAGCACCUCCA